rnacentral:rRNA from 1 species
AAGCGAAGCAGCGAUGUGAAGCAAAUCGCACCAAAGCCGGUCCCAGUUCGGAUAAGAGGCUGAAACUCGCCUCUUUGAAGUCGGAAUCGCUAGUAAUCGCAGAUCAGCAUGUUGCGGUGAAUACGUUUCCUGGUCUUGUACACACCGCCCGUCAAACCAUGAGAGUCGCCAACACCCGAAGUCCGCUUUGCGGCCUAAGGUGGGGGAGAUGAUUGGGGUUAAGUCGUAACAAGGUAAC